AGUGAACGCUGGCGGUAGGCCUAACACAUGCAAGUCGAACGGCAGCACAGUAAGAGCUUGCUCUUACGGGUGGCGAGUGGCGGACGGGUGAGGAAUACAUCGGAAUCUACUUUUUCGUGGGGGAUAACGUAGGGAAACUUACGCUAAUACCGCAUACGACCUACGGGUGAAAGCAGGGGAUCUUCGGACCUUGCGCGAUUGAAUGAGCCGAUGUCGGAUUAGCUAGUUGGCGGGGGAAAGGCCCACCAAGGCGAGGAUCCGUAGCUGGUCUGAGAGGAUGAUCAGCCACAUUGGAACGGAGCCACGGUCCAGACUCCUACGGGAGGCAGCAGUGGGGAAUAUUGGACAAUGGGCGCAAGCCUGAUCCAGCCAUCCCGCGUGUGUGAAGAAGGCCUUCGGUUUGUAAAGCCCUUUUGUUGGGAAAGAAAAGCAGCAGGUUAAUACCCCGCUGUUCUGACGGUACCCAAAGAAUAAGCACCGGCUAACUUCGUG
rnacentral:rRNA from 1 species